rnacentral:lncRNA from 1 species
ACCAAAUGGUCCCUGCGGAAUGCGGUGAUUUUUUCGAACACCUCCAAAUCACCCAAGUUUUGUCACACAUGAUCUCUUGUACAAACAAAGCUAGGUUUCCAAGGUUUUAUAUUUUUUUGAAUUUCUUUGAAUUUAUACUUCCCUCUAGACUGACUGAUUAUAACAUCCGUCUAUACCUCAAGGGGGCUAUGUAAAAUAUUUUUUGCAAAUUUUCUUUCAUAGGCAUGUUUGGCACAUGUGGGUCAUCGUGUAAAAUAAAAUGUGGGUGGUUUGGAGGUGGUGGAAAAAAUCACCGCAUGUUCAAAAAGUGGCUUAAGUUAAAAGACCAAAUGGUCCCUCCGGAAUGCGGUGAUUUUUUCGACCACCUCCAAAUCACCUCAAUUUCGGCACACAUGAUCUCUUCCACAAACAAAGCUAGGUUUCCAUGGUUUUAUAUUGUUUUGAAUUGUUUUGAAUUUAUACUGCCCUCUAGACUAACUAAUCAUAACAUCGGUCUAUACCUCAAGGGGGCAUUGUAAAAUAUAUAUUUUCCAAAUUUUCUUUCAUAGACAUGUUUGGCACAUGUGGGUUACCGUGUAAAAGAAAAUUUGGGUGAUUUGGAGGUGGUGGAAAAAAUCACCUUUGUUCAAAAAAUGGCUUAAGUUAGACCAAAUGGUCCCUCCGGAAUGCGGUGAUUUUUUCGACCACCUCCAAAUCACCUCAAUUUUGGCACACAUGAUCUCUUGCACAAACAAAGCUAGGUUUUCAAGGUUUUGUAUUUUUUUUAAAUUUCUUUGAAUUUAUACUGCCAUAUAGACUAACUGAUCAAGAUAUCGGUCUAUACCUCAAGGGGGCAUUGUAAAAUAUAUUUUUUCCAAAUUUUCUUUCAUAGACAUAUUUGGCACAUGUGGGUCACCGUGUAACAGAAAAUUUGGGUGAUUUGGAGGUGAUGAACAAAAUCACCUUUCUUCAAAAAAUGACCUAAGUUAAAGACCAAAUGGUCCCUCCGGAAUGCGGUGAUUUUUUCGACCAACUCCAAAUCACCUCGAUUUUGGCACACAUGAUCUCUUGCACAAACAAAGCUAGGUUUUCAAUGUUUUAUAUAUUUUUGAAUUUUUUUUGAAUUUAUACUGCCCUCUAGACUGACUGAUCAUAACAUCCGUCUAUACCUCAAGGGGGCAUUGUAAAAUAUAUUUUUUCCAUUUUUUUCAUAGACAUGUUUGGUACAUGUGGGUCACCGUGUAAAAGAAAAUGUGGGUGAUUUGGAGGUGAUGGAAAAAAUCAUUGCAUGUUCAAAAAAUGGCUUAAGUUAAGACCAAAUGGUCCCUCCGGAAUGCAGUGAUUUUUUCGACCACCUCCAAAUCACCUCAAUUUUGGCACACAUGAUAUCUUGCACAAACAAAGAUAGGUUUCCAAGGUUUUAUAUUUUUUUGAAUUUUUUUGUAUUUAUACUGCUCUCUAGACUGACUGAUCAUAACAUUGGUCUAUGCCUCAAGGGGGCAUUGCAAAAUAUAUUUUUUCCAAAUUUUCUUUCAUAGACAUGUUUGGCACAUGUGGGUCACCGUGUAAAAGAAAAUUUGGGUGAUUUGGAGGUGGUGGAAAAAAUCACCUUUGUUCAAAAAUGGCUUAAGUUAGACCAAAUGGUCCCUCCGGAAAGCGGUGCUUUUUUUACCACCUCCAAAUCACCCAAAUUUUGGCACACAUGAUCUCUUGCACAAACAACGCUAGGUUUUGAAGGUUUUAUUUUUUGAAUUUCUUUGAAUUUAUACUGCCCUCUAGACUGACUGAUCAUAACAUCCGUCUAUACCUCAAGGGGGCAUUGUAAAAUAUUUCUUUCCAAAUUUUCUGUCAUAGGCAUGUUUGGCACAUGUGGGUCACCGUGUAAAAGAAAAUGUGGG